rnacentral:tRNA from 1 species
GGGGAUGUAGCUCAGUGGUAGAGUUCUUGCCUAGCAUGCAUGAGACGGUUCCAUCCCCA